GAAAACCAUCGGCAAUCCGAUCACAUUUUCAGUGGACCUCAAUCUCGCAAUCCACCUCAAACUCUGAUGGGUAUUAUUUUCAGUUUGAAGCUAAACCGAAAUCCCAUCUCUCUUUUUUGAAGCAUCUGGAGAGCUAGUGGACAUUUUUUUCUGAAGAUGGACAGUAACACCAUCAAUUUUUGCCUAUACACAGACCACCGCCUGGGAAGUUCGGGUGUUGUGAAUAUAGAAAAGAGGACUGCUAAUGGAGAUGACCACAACACUCUCUUUGUCAACUAUGAGUAUCUUGGAAUCUAUUUGGGUCUACUCCUGCAGCAGCAAUAGCCUGGCAUGAAAUGCGAAGAGCUUGGAGAGGUGAUCGAUCUAGUGUUUCCCAGAGAAAGCCUAAGGAGCCAACGAUGCACUGCUCGAGCACGUUCAAGGAGGAGCCUUUUGAUGGACCAGUUCCUUUAUCUAAGAUGGUCGAAGCAUGGGAAGAAGACUAAAUCGAGAAAAAUGAAUGUCGCUAGCGGAUGAUCAUGGAACUGCUGAAUCGCAGUUGUUGGUGUAGGAAUUUCAAAAUUGGAGGUAUUGCUUGUCUUGUGUUACUGGCUUCGUAGAUGCUCAUGCUACUGUAUUAGUUGAAUUAUAAAUUUAUAGUACUAGUAGGGUUCGUUUGAUUGGUAUGAGAGUAUUGUGUAUGAUAGGGUAGUUGUAUAGGGUUUCACAUGAUAGUGCUGAUAGUAUUAUAUCUCAAUCGGACGUUUGUUUGGGCUGAUAGUGAUAAUCAUAUAACUUAUUUGGUCUUUGGUUGGGCUACUAC